rnacentral:lncRNA from 1 species
AUGCUCUGUGCUGUGUCUUCAGGGCUGUUACAGGGCCAUGGUUUGGUCCUUGUCUAUCCUUACAGGCCUACACUUUUUUGCAAGAAAGUCACAGUGCCACGUGUGCUUGCUGAUUCAAUCUGGGAGGAGGACAGAGACUGUAAGAGACCUGUCUUAAGAAAGAUGGAGGUGGCCCCCAUCUUCCUUCCACGUGCUGCUCUGCCAAGGUUUUCUCAUUCUGAUCAACAUCUCCAAGCUUGGGCUCAGUCUGCCAAUAUCUCCUGCCUCAUGAGUGAUAGCACUGCAGAGUGGAAUGGAUCACAUUCAAAAAGCUGGUCUGUACAAGCGUUUUAAGGUAAUUUGGCCAACAAAAGCUGCUGCUCAAGAACAUUUGAGAAACACCAUCUCAGAUUGAUGUGCCUUGCCAGAUGUGCUCAGCAAAUGACUUUCCCUGGUGCUGUUUUAAAAGUCUUUAGUAGAGUUGUGCAAUUCACACUAAUUCUGAAGAAGUCUCUUGGAACAUGCCAAAGAUAAAGAGUGCAUUUUCCAGACUGCAACAUUUUCCAGGUAAUUUGGGUUAUAAGAAAACAGUUACCUGAUCACCUCCAAUCUGAGUUCAAACAGAAUAUGGUACACCAGAUCUUAAAAUGGGACAGCUUUGUGUGGUAUGAUAAAUGACUUUACAGAUGCAUGGAAAUUCAAAAUUUAAAUCCAUUUUUCAAGCAUGUUGGAGAGAGUAGUGAAAAAUAGCUUUACACCCCACUCAUCAAGGUUAUGGCAUACACUUAUGUAAAGUGUGAUUUAUCUGCUGUCUUGCAUAUAUUCCUUUGGGGCCUGAGAUCCAGGUUUAAGAGAGAGGAGAGCUGAAAUGUUGUUGUCUGAGAGAGUGUUCUAUUUUUUGAAAUGCGAUAUAUAUAGCAGAUUUCAGCUGUAAAUAUGUAACAAUAGCAACAACACUUGAGCUGUUCACACCAUUGUGGAAAACAGAAAACUUCUGCCAUUUAUCACUCAGCUUGAACCAAUACUUUUACAUUUCAGAGUCUUGGUUCGGAGCAAGCCUUUUCUGGCUUUAAUUUUCAAAGAUUUUAUUUUAUUUCUGAUCAAAGCGAUACAAAAUGAGCCACACUGAACUUAGCCAAUGUAUCACUACUAAAACUGGUUUCCAGAUAGCUCAUUUUCAUUUUCUGUAAAUCAAAUUACAAUGGUUAGUCUUAUUGUGUGGUUUGCAUGAUUGCAAGAGAAUUUAAAAGCAAACUUCAACACUCAGCAAAUUCAUGGAAAUCCAAUGACAAACUUACUGAGCUAAAUGCAGCUAGAGAAUGUUGAACAUGGGAGACUUCAGUCUAACACAGCAU